rnacentral:rRNA from 1 species
GACGAACGCUGGCGGCGUGCUUAACACAUGCAAGUCGAACGGAAAGGCCCUGCUUUUGUGGGGUGCUCGAGUGGCGAACGGGUGAGUAACACGUGAUAACCUGCCCUUGACUUUGGGAUAACUUCAGGAAACUGGGGCUAAUACCGGAUAGGAGCUCCUGCUGCAUGGUGGGGGUUGGAAAGUUUCGGCGGUUGGGGAUGGACUCGCGGCUUAUCAGCUUGUUGGUGGGGUAGUGGCUUACCAAGGCUUUGACGGGUAGCCGGCCUGAGAGGGUGACCGGCCACAUUGGGACUGAGAUACGGCCCAGACUCCUACGGGAGGCAGCAGUGGGGAAUAUUGCACAAUGGGCGGAAGCCUGAUGCAGCAACGCCGCGUGCGGGAUGACGGCCUUCGGGUUGUAAACCGCUUUCGCCUGUGACGAAGCGUGAGUGACGGUAAUGGGUAAAGAAGCACCGGCUAACUACGUG